rnacentral:rRNA from 1 species
CCUACGGGGGGCAGCAGUGAGGAAUAUUGGUCAAUGGACGCAAGCCUGAACCAGCCAAGCCGCGUGAAGGAAGACGGCCCUAUGGAUUGUAAACUGCUUUUGUACGGGGGUAAAAGACGACACGCGUGUCUGUCUGAGAGUACCCGAAGAAUAAGGAUCGGCUAACUCCGUGCCAGCAGCCGCGGUAAUACGGAGGAUGCGAGCGUUAUCCGGAUUUAUUGGGUUUAAAGGGUGCGAAGGCGGAUGAUAAAGUCAGCGGUAAAAUUGGGAGGUUCAACCUCGGAUUGCCGUUGAUACUGUUCGUCUUGAGUGUGGUAGCGGUAUGCGGAAUGCGUGGUGUAGCGGUGAAAUGCAUAGAGAUCACGCAGAACUCCGAUUGCGAAGGCAGCAUACC